rnacentral:rRNA from 1 species
GUGGCUUGGCGCGGCUACCAUGCAAGUCGAGCGGUAACAGAUCCAGCUUGCUGGAUGCUGACGAGCGGCGGACGGGUGAGUAAUGCAUAGGAAUCUGCCCGAUAGUGGGGGAUAACCUGGGGAAACCCAGGCUAAUACCGCAUACGUCCUACGGGAGAAAGGGGGCUUCGGCUCCCGCUAUCGGAUGAGCCUAUGUCGGAUUAGCUAGUUGGUGAGGUAACGGCUCACCAAGGCGACGAUCCGUAGCUGGUCUGAGAGGAUGAUCAGCCACAUCGGGACUGAGACACGGCCCGAACUCCUACGGGAGGCAGCAGUGGGGAAUAUUGGACAAUGGGGGGAACCCUGAUCCAGCCAUGCCGCGUGUGUGAAGAAGGCCCUCGGGUUGUAAAGCACUUUCAGCGAGGAAGAACGCCUAGCGGUUAAUACCCGCUAGGAAAGACAUCACUCGCAGAAGAAGCACCGGCUAACUCCGUGCCAGCAGCCGCGGUAAUACGGAGGGUGCAAGCGUUAAUCGGAAUUACUGGGCGUAAAGCGCGCGUAGGUGGCUUGAUAAGCCGGUUGUGAAAGCCCCGGGCUCAACCUGGGAACGGCAUCCGGAACUGUCAAGCUAGAGUGCAGGAGAGGAAGGUAGAAUUCCCGGUGUAGCGGUGAAAUGCGUAGAGAUCGGGAGGAAUACCAGUGGCGAAGGCGGCCUUCUGGACUGACACUGACACUGAGGUGCGAAAGCGUGGGUAGCAAACAGGAUUAGAUACCUCGGGUAGUCAA